rnacentral:lncRNA from 1 species
AAAGAAUGGGUCAAAAACCCAACUAGAUUAGGACUGGGUCGACGGUUUGGGCUUAAAAGCCUAAAUCACUACUUCUCCCCUUUUCCUUUUUUCUAUUUGCUUACUUGCUUUACGUGUGCUUGGCGAACGUAGUUAAAUCCUUAGUUAAGUCACUAAAAAACUAGUUUUGCAUAAACACCAAAAUAUUCCUAAAAUCACUUUUAUUUUCAAAAAAAAAAAAACUUUUUUCAAAGUUAAUCAAAAGACAAUUUUCAAACAGUCCGGAUAACCGCAAGUUAGCGGACGUUUUAGGUGCCUAACACCUUCCUAAAACGUUAAUAGGAACCGCUUAUCUAAAAUCUAUUAACUUAAACGAUUUUUCUGUUUUGAAUUGUCUAAGUACAUUACAAAGGUUUCUUAAUUCCUUUUUCAAAAUUAAGUGGCAACUCUCUUUCAAAAGUCAAUUUCGCAAAACAAAAAUGGUGAGUCUGCUGGGGAUUUUUCGAACUAGGUUCUAACCAAAUGUUUGAUUUCGUCUUUUGAUUAACUGUUUAUGUGUUUAUAUGUUUCGAUUUUGUAAAUAUUAACUAUCGCAUCUCAUGGCAUAUCUCUGCAUUAUUUAAACUAUUUUGGGAUUUCGUGGAUGUCCCGACCCCUGCUGUUCAAUUCUAAAAUGUGUUGGAAAUGUGAAUGGCUUAUUAGCACGUGAGUCGUCUAACGCUAUUCGUAUUUUCAAACUCAAGUUGUCCUCUUGAGAACUAGUGUUCAAACCCACUCUAGAUAUCGAGGAUAGAACGAAACCAAAACCCUAUUUUAGGCAUUAGCUUAGAACGACCCAGUACUCGAGCGGGGUAUUGGGACCAUUAGAAAACCUGCCCUAUGUGUAUUGACCCCGAGUCAAUUACAGACGAAUAAUAUUUAUGUGUUGAAAAAAAUACAUGCUUGUCUAAUUCAACCCAUUAUCCUUUGGCGUCCGGGGAAGGCUUAUCUUUGUUUGCUUUCAUGUAGGAUAUGGCUCAACUACAUUCCCACGAAAAGUUCAAGAUGGUUACUACACCUGAUGAUUUCUUGAAACUAUGGUGGGACCACAUGAGUGCAGAAGAGAAAAAGAUUGUUAGAACACACAUUGGGCAUCUUUCUUCUUUGAUCGAGAUGGACGCUUGGCCCAAAAUGAUCCAUGUACUAACAACUUUUUGGGAUGAUCAGAAUAUGGUAUUUCACUUUGGGGAUGUUGAAUUGACUCCCACCAUUGAAGAGGUAUUGGUUUGUUACGAGAGUAUGAAAAUGUGUUUUAAGAGAAGGGAGACACCUGAUAAGAACAUUUUAGUCCCGAUUGUGUAGGAUCGUCAAAAGAUCAAAGAGGUAUUUUUAACUGACGACGACACCUGGAUAGGAGAACGUGAUGGAGAAAAUAUCACUUUUCGUGAUUUGUAUCAUCGGUUCAGGAGAUUUAAUGCUUUUAAAACAUUUGGGCGUAAAUAUGAGUCAGAAGCAAAAUGGAAGGAGACGAGAGCCUUUGCGUUUGCGGUAGGCCUACUUGGAACCAUGGUGUUCCCACAAGGGGAAAAUGACACAAUUCAUUUGAGGGUUGUCUCAGUGACCCAUGCACUCUUCUUUGGAAUGGAGUACAAUUCUAAAAAGGUAUUCCACAACUUAGCUCCUAUGAUUGUCGCCGACCUAUAUCUAGCUUUGGGAAGGUGUCAAGUCGAGAAUAAUUUCUUUCAAGGUUGCAACCUUAUAUUACAAUGGUGGAUGAUGAUGCAUUUGGUGAAAAAUCCUAGAACGGCACAACUUAACCACAAAAUAAGGUGGAAUCUGCUAGAAUCGCACGACAUGUGGUUGUUUUUACACGGGUUCAAAAGGGAAGCAUCUCAUGAAUUUUGGUUUAAGACUCUUGGAGAAUUAAGAGAUGACGAUGUCCAAUGGUCCUUUAAUUAUCUUCAUUCAGGGAAAUACAUUAUUCGAGGGGGCGAGUGGCCUUUUCUAGUGCUUUCGGGUCUCAGGGGAACCCGUCCCUACAAUCCUGGCAGAGUUCUUAGGCAAUUCGAGAUCAAGCAGGAGACGCCUCAAAUUGAUUUUAUGCUUAGAUUCUUCACCGAAUAUGAUGAAAGCGAGCCCCCGCUCAAAGACUACAUGAUAAAUGGAUGGAUAAGGAGAAGGUAGAAGGAAGUCUCUUCCCGUAUAGGGUAUGAACAUGAAGUCAGCGACACUUACAAGGAGUGGUUAAAAAAGAGCCUCGCCAGAGCAUUGAUUCCGGGGCCGAACGUGCCCACUUGGAUCGUGGAUAUAGAAUCCGAGCAUCAAAUCCGACUCCACAGGCUUCAGGAUGAAUUUUAGAAAAGUGAAAUCGUGCACCGACAGAUACAUGUAGAAGAUGCUUUAACAAUACGUAUGUUGAGGGAAGAGUUAAAAAGAGCUAGGCAAGAGGCUGAUGAUGCUAGGCAGUGUUUAAUCGCUUUGGAUGAUAGCAUGGCCUCUCAACUUGAUCGUAUAGAAAAAAUGACUUACGACAGCAAGUCACAGUUAUGCGGGAGUCAUCUGAUCAUCAAUAGGUAUCAAAUAGCACAGGAGGUGAACAAGGCAAAGAAGGCAAAGACAGACGAAGGAGCCUCCGAUAGCUAGUUUUUCUAUUUCCCCUGAACGGGAACUUAUUUUCUUUCAUGUUAUUUCCUUUUUUUCCUAAAGAUUGUAUCCCUCUUUUGUUAUUUUUUUUUAGGCAUUUAUGCCCUUUUUUGUGUCUAUAUAAGUUAGGGGAUAAUGGAUUGACUUUAAGGAAGCAUUUAUUUUCUUCAAAAUCGUUAGGCCUGAACCCUUGGCUCAAAAAAGGUCACCCCAGUUAGGAUACGCAUUAUUAUAAUAUUUUGUGUGAUAUAAUUGUCUUAUGUGCUUAUGUGUGUUUAUUUGGAUCAAAGGCAAGUUUAUCCGCUAUACUCCUAUGGAUGAAUUUGGGUAAGACUCAAACAACUCUAUGUGGUUAUUUCUUUUCAAAUAUUUUACAUUACUUAUCACAUACGGAAACUAACACAUCUGCCUUUGAGUUAUUUUACUUAACAGAUAGUAGAAACUACUCUGUGUUGAUAUAAGCUGGUAAAACAUCCCUACUUCACCUAGUCAAAAGCGCACAAAAUCCCAUCCUUUGACCAUCAUUCAAUAAUGACUGGAAAUAAAGAAGAAAAUGCAUUGACCAUCAGGGACAAUCUAAUAGUGGAACAGAAUGAGAUGAUUACGGAACUCGCAAGAAAGCUUGAAAUGCUUCAGGAGGAAAUAAAUCGUACUUGAGAUUUGGCUCACCUGGCCGUCACUGUUAAUAGUUCAGCUUCAGGAGGACACGGGUCUCCACUCCAAAUCCCUUCCCUUAGUAUACCUAUUCUCGAGGAUCAACCAAAUAAUAUAUCAUCCGUCUCUGCCCCUCCACUUGUCUAAAAUACCAAUCGCAAAAAUAACCUAGAUGCCUACCAUCCAUAAAAUCCAUCUCUAACCCCACAAAACCCAUCUUCGAAUCUAUUCCCAAAUCCCCAGAACACAUUUUCAAAUCAAGAAAAUUCAUUCCUAAAUCCACAAGAUUUUCUUCCAAACCCGCAAAAUCCAUCAAAUCUAUUUCUGAAUCCACCAAAUUCGUUUCCAAAUCCACAGAAUUCUCCUCCAAUUCCACCAAACCACUCGUAAAUUCUACAAAACCUUUCUAAAUUUAAAAACAUCCUCCCCUUCUACCAACAAACUUCCUUUCAUCCGCAAAAUCAAGCCUCCUUUCCAAAGCCCCCUCAUGCCAUCAUAUCCCCCGACAUCUAUAAUCCCCUUCAUAAUCCCGAGAUGGACUAUUACGAAGAGAAGGAGAAAGAUUGGAGGACCGAGCGUGAAAUGAGGUUGCUAGCUAUGAAUGAAGAGAUCAUGAGGAUCAAAGAAUCUCAUGGAGAGAGGGACCAUGAUGGUUUAGGGUACAAUGACUUAUGUGUUCACCCUGGAGUAGAUCUACCAAAAUGGUACAAAGUCCCCAAGUUUGAAGUGCUUGAUAGUGCUGGGAAUCCAAUGUCCUAUUUGAGGAGGUACUGUGAGCAACUGGUAGGGAUUGGGAAAAAUGAGGUGUUAUUGAUACGCCUAUUCAUCCGAAGUUUAAGUGGUGAAGCUUUAGAGUGGUUCAUGUCUCAGCAGCCAAAAAAAUGGACUGGUUGGAAAGCAUUGGCCAAGGGUUUCCUCGACAGAUUCGCAUUUAACAUUGAAAUUGUCCCGGACCGGUAUUCACUAGAUCGGAUCAAACAGAAGAGUGAUGAGAGUUUUUGAGACUAUGCUUUUUGUUGAAGGAAGGAAGCUGCCAAAGUGCAACCCCCCAUGUCCGAGGAAGAAAUGGUAUCUGUGUUCUCUCGUGCUCAAGAAGGAGAAUAUUGUACCAGGAUGGUGUCUGCUGUCAAGGAAACUUUUGCAGAUUUGGUAAAAAUCAGGGAAUCACUGGAAGAAGGUAUUCGUACUGGAAAAAUUAUCACGACCCCAACAUCAUCCGAAACUGCUAUGUUCUCAAAGAAGAAAAAGAAGGAUGUAGGCAUGAUUUCUGCUGAUUCUAUUGCAAAAAUAAAAAAGACGUUCAACACUAGGAACAUUUUCUCUUCUCCGCCAUUAUAAAACUUUCAGCAUGUAUUCUACACCCAACCCCAAUACCAAGUUUCACUUCCAAAUGUCCAACCCCAGUACCAAACACCACUCCCAAAUAGUCAACCCCAGUACCAAGCUCCACUCCCAAAUGUCCAAUCCCAAUUCCAAGCUUCGCAGCCAAAUAUUUUUCCCCAAUGUCAAGUUCGACUGCCGAAUUAUCAUCCUAAUUUCCAAUCCACUCUUCCAAAUAUCCGAAAAAACAUCCAAGCACCUCCAAAUUAUCAUCAAGUGCCUCCUGCAAAUCAAAAUCAAUAACACUCCGCAUCUAAACAUCGAAAAGAAACCUCCCCAAAACUUCACGCCACUUGCUAAAAGUCGCACCCAACUAUUUGAAAGAUUAAAGAAUGCCGGUCACUUACAAUCGAUCCAGCCAAAGCCUGUCAAUCCCAACUCCCAAUUUUGUUAUCCUGAUCAAAAUUUUGCCUAUCAUUCAGGAGCAACAGGGCACGGUACCGAGGACUGUUUUAUCUUGAAACACAGGAUCCAAGAUCUGAUUGAUCAAAGGGUCAUCACGCUUUAGUCACCGAUGCCAAAUGUCAACAGUAACCUAUUGCCUAAUCAUGGGAGACCUACAGUUAACAUGAUUGAAAUGGAAGGGGAAUAGGCGUCUGACAAAACUAUUACUAAGGUGAAUUCAGAAGAGUGCAAAAGGGCGGAAGAGGUAGAAAAGAUAGAGAGAGUUGUGGUUGCCUUAAGUAUCAAUGAGAAAGCCCCAUUUAUAGUAAUGAUGGCCCCGAUCCAAGUGUACACUCCCCCGCCAAGGAAGGAAUUUAUUGUAUAAACCGCUACUGCCUAAGGGAUGACGCGAUCGGGACGAUGCUACAUCCUUGAAGAAUUGACCAACAAAAAAGAUUCACAGAAAUGGCCAAUCACUGAAGGGGAGGAUGAGGAAUUUUGGAGGCGUAUGCAACCCAAAGAUUAUUCAAUUGCCAAACAUUUACAGAAGACGCUAUCCCAAAUCUCCAUUUUGGCACUAUUAAUAAGUUUGCAAUACCACUGACAAACUUUAUCGAAGGUCUAAGAUGAAGUGUAUGUUCCCACAAGAAUGAGUGUUAAGAACCUGGCUGCGAUGAUAGGAAACAUUAUGGGGAAUCAUCGCAUAUCAUUCAGUGAUGAAGAGUUGUCGUUUGAAGGAGCGAUGCACAACAAAGCGUUGCAUAUCACUAUCAUUUACCGAGAUUAUCCAAUUAAUCAGGUAUUAAUAGAUGACAAAUCUGGUGUGAAUAUUUGUCCCCUCUUCACAUUGGUUUAAAUGGGCUAUGAUUUGGGAAAUAUUCGUCAAAGCACAUAAAUGUGAGAGCAUUCAAUGGAGGACAGAGAGAUACCAUAGGAGAAAUUGAUUUGUACAUCUAAAUGGGACCUGCUGAGUUCAAAACUAAGUUUCUUGUUAUGGAUAUUCAUCCUAGCUACAACCUUCUCUUGGGAAGACCAUGGAUAUAUAGUGCAAAGGCCCUGUUCAUUACCCCUUAAUCAACUAUUGAAGUUCAUUUGGAAGGAUCAUGAAGUAGUCAUCCAAGGGGAAGGAAGCCGAACGGAUCAUCCUAAUGGUUAUGUGCCGGUGAUUGAACAUGUUCCAAAGGGUAGUAGUUUCUAUACGGUUGAAAUUAUAAAUGCUGUGGAGAAGGACCUGACGCUCAAAGCGCCAAUGCCUUCUGUCUACAAAAUAAUUGUGAUGGUGAUGUUAAGAAAUAGAUUCGAGCCUGGUCGAGGUUUGGGUAAGAAUCUACAAGGAAUUAUUGAGCUUGUUAUGAUCCUAGAGAAAGCCUCUAAGUAUGGGUUAGGAUAUCAGCCUACCGAGAAGGAUGUGGUUGAGGAUAAGUCAGAUCAGAGUCUGUGUAGGCCAUUUCCGCUCCUGUACCAGUCAUUUCCUGUACAGGAGGUAUCGAAUGAUGAUGGUCUUGAGGAUGGGAUAAGAGAUUUGUUCGAGGGAUACAAUGCUGUACCAGAAGAUUUCCCAAAGUCUGGUGGGGUGAAGAAGAUUGUGCCAGGGGAGGCCUUGCAAAAUUGGACCUCCACUCCACUCAUAACCCGUCGCCCGUCGUGGUAAAUGAAAGGGCAAUUACUAAUAGUUUUAAAAUCGGUGAUGAUCCGAAAGAGGCCUUGCAAUCCACCCUUUAUAUCUUAAAACUUUUUUUUUUGUAUUUUACUGCUUUCAAAAAGGCAUGGACUUGUAUUUGCGUGAGUCAUGAGCCAUGGUUUUGUAAUUAUCUCACAAAUUUCAUUGAAAAGGCCUUCAUUCAUUUAAAAAAAAUUAUUAUUCCUAAAACAUUCUUAUUCGUAUAUUUUUUUAUUAUCUCAUUAUCAUCUAACUUGGUUUGUUUGUCCAUUACAGUAACAGUGACUUAAAAUCUGCCAAUGUCAUGUCAUGUCAAAGCUUAGACAAACAAAAUAAAGGGAAUGAUGAUGAUCGAAAGAACGGUGAUGAGGAACAAUUAGUUGAAGAUAUAGAAGAGUUUGAGAACCGAGAAAAUCCUAAACUAGAGGAAAUUGAAAUAGUCAACCUCGGAGAUCAUGAUGAAAUCAAAGAAACAAGUGUCAGCGUCCACCUGGUGGAAGCAUAAAAGAGAGAGCUCAUUCACCUGUUGCGGGAAUAUAUUUAUGUUUUUGCUUGGUCCUAUGAUGAUAUGCCGGGAUUGAGCACCAAUAUUGUGUCGCAUAAGUUACUGAUAAUCCAGAGUUUGAUCUAGUCAAGCAAAAAAUGCAGAAAUUCAAGCCAUAUUUAAGUCUAAAGAUCAGGGAAGAAGUGACAAAACAAAUCUAAUCUAAGGUUGUGGAGGUCACAAAAUAUCCGACGUGGUUGGCCAAUAUCGUCCCUGUGCCGAAGAAGGACGACAAGAUUCGAAUUUGUGUUGACUAUAGAGACAUGAAUAGAGCCAAUCCUAAAGAUAAUUUUUUUGUUGCCCAACAUCUACAUCCUCAUCGAUAACUAUGCAAAGCAUGAAAUGCAGUCAUUCGUUAAUUGUUUCGUCGGGUAUCACAAAUAUUGAUGGAUGAGAAAGAUGUAGAAAAGAUGGAUUUUAUUAUGCCCUGGGGUAUUUAUCAUUAUAGGAUAAUGCCGUUUGGUCUCAAGAACGCGGGUGCAACAUAUAUGAGCGCUAUGACGAUAAUUUUCCAUGAUAUGAUACAUAAAGAGAUUGAGGUGUACGUGGAUGAUGUAAUUAUCAAAUCCCGCGAGAGUUCAGAUCAUCUGACUCAUCUGGAGAAAUUCUUCAACAGAUUAAGAAAGUACAAUUUGAAGUUAAAUCCUGCUAAGUGUGCUUUUGGUGUGCCAUCAGGGAAGUUGUUGGGGUUCAUAGUUAGCAGAAGAGGCAUCGAGUUAGACCCAUCCAAAAUCAAAACAAUCCAGGACUUGCCACCGCCGAGGACCAAGAAGGAAGUUAUGAGUUUCAUGGGUUGUUUGAAUUACAUUAGCAGGUUCAUCGCUCAAUCGACAGUCAUAUGCGAGCUAAUUCUCAAGAUAAUGAAGAAAAAUGCAUUGAAUGAGUGGAAAAAAGAAUGUCAAAGAGCUUUUGACUGCAUUAAGGAUUAUCUGUCUGCACCGUUGGUUUUGGUUCCACCAAGAGAAGGAAUUCCAUUAUUGCUUUACCUGUCAAUCUUAAAAAAUACUUUUGGAUGUGUCCUCAGGAAACAUGAUGAGACCGAUAGGAAAGAGAAAGCCAUUUACUACUUGAGUAAAAAGUUUACUCCAUGUGAAACCUGUUAUACUCUUGUAGAAAGGAUAUGUUGCACUUUGACUUGGGCCGCACAAAAGUUAAGGCAUUAUCUGUCUUGUACACGAGAUACCUCAUCUCGAGAAUGGAUCCAUUGAAGUAUAUAUUCCAGAAGGCCAUGCCCACAGGAAAGCUAGCCAAGCGGCAAAUAUUGCUGAGCGAGUUUGACAUCGUGUAUGUAACUCAAAAGGCAAUCAAUAGGCAAGCUUUGGCAGAUCAUUUGGCAGAGAAUCUAGUUAAUGAUGAGUAUGAACCACUUCGAACUUACUUCCUAGAUGAGGAAAUUCUAUUUGUGGGAGAAGACAUUAUAGAAAUUUACCCUGGAUGGAGGUUAUUCUUUGAUGGAGUGGUCAACUUCAAAGGUUUAGGAAUCGGAGAAAUGUUGGUCUAAAAAAUAGGUCAACAUUAUCCAGUAACUGCUAAGUUACAUUUCCCAUGCACUAACAACAUGGCCGAAUAUGAAGCUUACAUCCUAGGUCUCAAAUUGGCACUUGAUAUAGGUGUUCGUGAAUUGCUAGUCAUCGGGGAUUUAGAUUUGCUGAUUCACCAGGUAUGGGGAGAAUGAGCGGUAAAAUAUUCCAACCUUAUGUUUAGCUGGUACAGGAAUUAUGUGGAAAAUUCAAAUAAGUUCAUUUCAGACAUAUCCCAAGGAUACAAAAUGAGUUUGUUGAUGUUUUGGCCACUAUAUCCUCCAUGAUUCGGCACCCAGAUCAGAGUUAAUUGAUCCUUUGGAAAUAAGCUUGAAGGAGCAACCUGCGCAUUCUGCACAUGUUGAAAAGGAGCCCGAUGGAAAGGCAUGGUACUAUGACAUUAAAAGGUAAUUAGAAUUUGGAAUAUAUCCUAAAGAGUCCAGCAACAACCAAAAGAAAACAAUUCGGCGUUUGGCAAAAAACUACUUUCCAAGUAGGGAAUUUCUUUUUAGGAGAACGCCUGAUUUAGGAUUUUUAAGAUGCGUAGAUGCUGCGAAAGCCAAUAAAUUGAUAAACACAUAGGAGUUUGUGGACCCCACAUGAAUGGGUUCGUCCUUGCCAAAAAGAUCCUGAGAACCGGCUACUUUUGGAUAACUAUGGGGAAUGAUUGUAGUAAGUAUGUGCAAAGAUGUCUAAAAUGUCAGACACACGGAGAUUUGAUUCGAAUGCCUCUACACGAGCUUCAUGCAAUGAAUUCACCUUGGCCUUUUGGGGGCAUGGAUGUUAUCGUACCAAUAGAGUCAUCAUCAUCGAAUGGGUAUAGAUUUAUUUUGGUUGUCAUUGACUACUUCACUAAGUGGGUCGAAGCUGCGUCAUACAGAGUCGUCACUAAGAAAGUGGUUGCAAAUUUCAUCAGGAAUAACUUGAUUUGUCAAUUUAGAGUGCCGGAAUCAAUCAUUACUGAUAAUGGGGCAAACUUGAACAGUCACUUGAUGAAAGAAAUUUAUGAUCAGUUUAAAAUCGUGCAUCGCAACUCGACCGCGUAUCAUCCACAGAUGAAUGGAGCUGUAGAAGCUGCCAAUAAAAACAUCAAGAAGAUCUUAAGAAAUAUGGUCGAAAAUGAUAGAUCAUGGCAUGAGGUGUUACCUUAUGCUUUGCUAGGAUAUCGCACAAUAGUUCGAACCUCCAUCGGGACAACUCCCUAUUUGCUGGUUUAUGGGAAUGAAGCUGUGAUACCUACGGAGGUUGAAAUACAUUCCCUGAGGAUUAUUCAAGAAGCCGUACUAAGUAACGAAGAGUUUGUUCGCACUCAUUGUGAAAAACUCAUGUUGAUUGAUGGAAAGAGAAUGGUUUCCAUGUGUCAUGGUCAGUUAUAUUAGCACAAGAUGAUUCGUGCUUUCAACAAGAAAGUGAGAGCUCGAACAUUUGAAGUUGGGCAAUUAGUUCUCAAAUGCAUACUCCCUCACCAAAAAGAGAACAAGGGCAAGUUCGCUCCAAAUUGGCAAAGUCCAUACAUAGUUCGCAAGGUACUAUCUGGAGGGGCUCUGAUUUUGUCUGAGAUGGAAGGCCAUGAGUGGACCAAACCAAUCAAUUUUGAUGCGGUGAAAAGAUACAAUGUUUGAAGGGAGUUCUAGUUUUGUAGUUAUUAGUUUAUCUGUAAUCACCGUGUAAUAAUGUGUUUUAUUACGUGUAGUUGCCUAGAACACCUUUUCCUUUAUUUACGAACUACGUUUGACCUGAAUUCUCAAGAAAGGGAUACGUAGGCAGCCUAUGUCGGAUUCAGUCAACCCCUUAGAAAAUUUAUCCUUUCCCUUUAUGUAUGAACUACGUGAUGACCUGAAUUCCCAAGAAAAGGAUACGUAGGCGGCCUAUGUCGGCUUCGGUCAACCCAUUAAUUUCUUUUGUAUAUCCCUAGCGUAGUCCUGAACUAUGUUUGACCUGAUUCCUGAUUCAACGGGAUAUGUAGGCGCCCCAACAGCUCGAUCAUAUAACCCCAGAAAAUAAAAACUGGGGCAGAAUUUUCGAGAAGGAAUCUCAAAAAUACACAAGAGAAGAUCAACAUCCAACAAAGAGAAUGAAGAUCAGCAAAGACUUCAGAUCCACUCAAGAUGAUAUUAUCUCAGACUACUUUAAACUGGGGCAGAAAUUUUGAGGGAGGCCUCAAAAUUUCAAUCAAAUACUGGAAUAUAUUUCAGAUUCCCCAGCACUAGAGGUCAAAGUUGAGAUUUGAUAAUAAUCACCUGUGAUAAAGUCUAGGAAGACUGAAUCUUCGUCUUUGAUAAAAACUCUGGUAGAGAUCCUCGACAAUGCUGAAUCCCUAGCUAUCCUCCGUCAAAUGUCGAACAUUAUUAGAAUCAAGAGAAAGAAGGUCGUUGAGCUAGCACAUGACAUGAUUGGCAGAGAUUUUUCAAAGUUUUGCAGGAGUUCUCAAAACUAUUUUCUAAAAAUUAAGAGUACUUUCAAAAAAUCUAUAUAAAUCUUUUACUUAGUGAUUGCCUAGACAUCAAUUAGGACGGAGAGUCAUGGGUGGAAGUCCCAACAUGAUGAAAUACCUGAAAGAUGGCGAAGGAAAAAUCAAGGAUCAAAGGAGGUCAACACGGAGUAGUUUCACUCAAACUAAUUAUUUUUUGUGGGCGCUGGGACCAAUACACAAAAAUAAGAGUCUCUUUUAAAAAUCUCCGGGCAAAUUAGGAGCCAUACCAAAGCACUAAUGCUCAAGAACGGUAUUUUUGGGUAGCCCUAAAAAUGGGUUUAGUACCCAUAUAUUGAAGACCUUUUUAAAUGUCCAUCUCAUUUCUUGAGAUAAUGGAGGACAAACAAAAGUGUCUUAUCUUUUUUACAAAUAUUGUAUUUAGAAUUUUUCUAAAAACAGUCACUAGCAAAAGUGACUUUGUGUUUACUAAUCUUCUACCUUGAGUAUAGGUACAUGUAGAAAGCAAGACCCUGACAAAUAAUUUCAGGUAAAACUAUUUUUAAUUUAUCAUAAGAACCAUUGCAUGUCAUUGCCAAGAGGGCCAUUGCAUGUCAUUGCAAAGAGGGACUUUGCAUAUAAUUACUGAAAGAGCCAUUGCAUGUCAUUUCCAAGAGGGCCAUUGCAUAUCAUUGCUGAAAGGGCCAUUAAAUAUCAUUGCCAAGAUGGCCAUUGCAUAUCAUUGCCGAGAGGGCCAUCUCAUACCAUCGGCCAAGAAGGUUAUUUAAUAUUUGUUGACACGCUAGACAUAACACUAGCGUCGAGGAUAUCAUCAUCAUUUUAUAUCUGUUGACACGCAAGACACAAUGCUGGCGUCGAGGAUAUCAUCAUCAUUCAAUAUCUAUUAACGUGCUAGACACAACGCUGGAGUUGAGGAUAUCAUCAGCAUUCAAUAUACCUGUUGACACGCAAGACACAACGCUGGUGUCGAGUACAUCAUCAUCAUUCAAUAUCUAUUGACGCGCUAGACAUAGCUUUGGUAUCGAGGAUAUCAUCAGCAUUCAAUAUAUCUAUUGACACACAAGACACAACUCUGGAAUCAAGGAUAUCAUCAUCAUUCAAUAGCUAUUGAUGAGUUAGACCCAACGCUGGCGUUAAGAAUAUCAUCAGCAUUCAAUAUAUCUGUUGACACGUAAGACACAACGCUGGUGUCGAGGAUAUUAUCAUCAUUUUUAUCUGUUGACACGCAAGACACAAACGAUGGCGUCGAGAUAUCCUCAACAUUUGAAUGUAUUGAGAGCACACGAUUUGAAGGGACGCCUUUAAUUUGCUAUCUAAGGAUGAAUCAUAUAUAAGAUUUUCUAGAAAUUAACAAUUUGAGGGUCAUCUAUAAGUCAUAUUAUUUGAAAUAGGAUAGUGUGCAAGAUCACCUAUGAGUUGAUAGCCUAUAGGUCAUCGUAAUCCACAACAACAUCCUAAUCGGAUAGUGUGCAAGGUCAUCCAAAAAUCGAUAGUUCAAAGGUUAUCCAUAAGUCCCAACUAAAUCCUAACUGGAGAAUAUGCAAUAUUAUCAAAUUGAUACGUCCAAGGGUUCUCUAUAAGCCACGUCAUAUCCAAGAUCGAUUAUGUGCAGGCUUACCCAAAGACUAAUAAUUUUAGAGAUUAUCUAUACGUCAUAUUGUAUCCAAGGUCGGAUGAUGUGCAGGAACACCUGAAAGCUAGCGAUUGGAGGGAUUUCUGUGAGCCAUCUCUUAUCCAAAGUCGGAUAAUGUGCAAGAUUACCUAAAAUUUAGAAAUUCAAAGGAUAUCUGUAAGUUGCCUUGUAUCCAACGUCAAAUAAUGGGCAAGAUUAUCCGAAGAUUGACAAUUUAAGGGAAAUUUAUAAAUCAAUCGUCGGCUAUAACCGGAAAGGUUAUCAUUCCACAUACAACAAGUGAUAUAGGUAACCAAUGGAUUGCCACACCAGCACAAGAUUACAUGGUUGUAGGGACCGUUCUGCAUAAAGUACCGCUAGUGUUUAAAAAAGCUACCCCACUUUGAAGACAUAUUCAAUCAACAAAUGUCAUAAUUAUACAACAACUAAGAGAGUUGUUUUAUUUUUGCCAGUUAUUUCAUUCCAAACAGGUACAUGAAGAUAUGACUCCAAUUUUCAGUCCAUAACUCACGUGGAGAUAUGGUAAAAGACUACAUACCUCUUUCGUGAAUUAUGUUUAGCACUAAUACUUUUUGCUUGAAGCAUUGUCGAGAGCAUCCGAGAGGAUGAAAAUCUCAAAUCAAAAUCACAGGUGUGGAUGACUUCAGAUAGGACGCAGCACAACGUAGAACUCUUUGUUAGCAGCAAAAUAGGACAUAGUCUAAAGAGGGACGUCAAACUCUUUGGACACGAGCUAAAGGAUGAUCACCACCACCAUCCAACCACACCCCUGUUAGAAAGCAUGUAGGAAUUCUGGGAUAUUUAGGUUUCAUCUUCACCUUCGGGAUGUUCCUAAACUCAUACUGAGGGUAAACUUCGCUUUCUUUCAAAUCCGAGUGACAACACACCUAGAGUUUUGAAAAUUAUGUCCACGUAAAUUCUUGCCUAUGGAUGUGAAGGAUCCCACAUUCAUGGUUAAGAGAUUACAAGACUCUUUUCCAUAACUCGAUCAUUAACUUGCCACUCAUCCCGAGCCAAAGAUCGUCUAAAAUAGAAGACUAUCUUUUCUACCGAUCGAGUCGAACUACAAGUAGUCUAAUUCCCUAAAGUCUAAGGGAUAUGUAGGCUGGGAUCUACGUAGAAAACUCGACUGCAUUCCAACCUCCCCCCAAAUCCCUUUAUUCCCCAGCUUCUCAGUUUAUCAAAAGCUCUAAAACGGUGAUAGUUGGUGAAUUUCCUUGAAAAUCGUGCUUAAAAUCAAGCUUUAUGAACUACAAGUGGCCUGAAUUCUCAUGCAACCUGAGAUAUGUAGGAAACCGGAUACCGAGGGUCAUUCAUAACUCCAUGAAACUCGUGCGAAAAACCAACCUCGCUUAGAUACGAAUUUUUGGUCGGACAAAAAUUAGAAACGCCAACCUCCCUUUACCCAGGAUUAGUUGCAUCCAGACUACCUAAAGGGAGGGGGCAGUUGUUGACACCUAAUUUUUUCCCUCCACAACUACGUUUAAUCUCGAGUUUCUUCAAUUUUUAAUAAAAUAACAAUAUUUAUUUUAUCAAAUAAAGAAACUUUUCAAAAGUAUUUAUCGGGGUAAUUUCGUUAUUUUAAGUAGCGAUUAUAAAUUAUCAUAUUCAGUUGUACGAAGUUGUAAUAUUGUUACUUAAAUAUCUAUUUUUAUAAAAAUAUCGAAUUUUAAUCAAGGUUGUCUUGAAAUAAAUUAUAAUGACUUAAAUCUUGAUUUAAGUACAAUUUAUUCUUGAAAAUAACUUAUUUGAAUAAGUAUAUAUUUGAUUUUGUCGAAUCAAGAAGCUCGAAGUUAAAUGAGAUACUAAUCCAUUUUGAAUUUUUAUUUAAUUUGGCCAUAAUUGAAAUCAAAUUGGCCACAAUUGCGAUGCAAUUGGCCAAUUGAUCUUCAAUUUGGCAAUUUGGACCCAAUUAGCAAAUUAGUAGCAGCCCAAUUACCCUUCAAUGGAUCAUCACCAACGGCCCAAGACACACCAGCCCACUUCCAUUAGUAACCUGGCCCAAUUCCAUUCUCCUCUUUAAACAUAACCAUCAGAAAACAACAACAACAACAACAACAACAACGUCAACGACCUUCAUCAAUAAAGGACAACUCUUCUCAACCAUCAUAAUAGUACAAACGUUAGCUCGACAAUCUGACCAUACCCGCGAACCCAACUAAUCCAUCUCUCUCUUCAACCCGACCCGUCGAUUAAGCCAUUUUCUUUGACGAAAGUUCUAGAAACUGGACACCUCACGCACCACAACGUCUUAAAUUCGCGAAUCUCAGUAACAAUGGUAUGAUUUCGUACAUGUAUGUCAAAAUUUCAUUGGCUCAUGGCAGAAAUUUGUUUUCCCUAAAUCUUAUUGGUCCAUCAAUUUCAAAAUUGGUACAAUCGGUAUAAUUUGUUGGGGGUAAUCUUAUUUUGAAAGAUUAUGAAUUUCUUUUUUUUUUAAGUUCCUAACCUACCCCUAAUUCAUCUUCUAAAUAAAGACCCUUUUGGGUCACUGUUAGGGGAUUUUUUUUGAAGGAGGGAAAUUGGAGGGUUUACAAAAUCCUAAGGUUGGAGAAUUAGGGUUCAAAAUUUUUAGGGUUCAAGAAGGAGGUUUUGAAAUUCUGGGGUUGGAAAAUUUGAGUGCGAAAAAUAUUUCCUAAGAAAAGCUAGGUUCGAAAAGAGAGGAAAACGGGUCUCGUUAAAGAGGAACUUUUAUUUAACAAAGAUUUUAGGAAGAAGAGGUCAGGUAGUUGAAAUUUAUGCAACGGCAUCAAGCUCUUUGGUGGUGGUGGAGUCCGACGUCAGUUUGUAGUCCUGUUUUGCUGCUCUCAAAUAGGUAAUGCCCUUUUUCCGCUUUUAUCUCUUCUUCUUCAUCUCGAUCUUCUGUAGUCAUGAAUAAAUUUUCAGUAUGAUUGUAUACUAGGUUGUUUGCUGGUAGAUGGCUUCGAUAGCCGUAGUUAAUUGUUGGUAGAUUUCGAUUUGAUACUCUCAUUUUAUGUACUUCUUGUAGCUUGAAUAGCUGGUUGACUAGUUAAAGUUUAUUGCUUGGACUGUGUUUGAUAGUCUUAACCGAAUAUUGUUUUGGUCGUAAUUUUUAUGUAACAGUGUUUUGUCUAUUGUUACUAUUGGAUGGAGUCUUAAUUGUCGAGCUAGCAGCACUGCUAGCAGAGCUAUCUCUCAAGUUUCUUUGGCUUCUCAUAUGCCAAAAGGACAAUGAGCAGGAUCCAAAAGCUUAUCAGAAAGUCCUAGGUUCUUUUAAAGACCAUUUCGUUCGAAUCUGUCAGAAUAGUGAGGAGGAUUGGAAUAAUAGUCAUCCUUGCUGUAGUUUUGUAGGGUUGUUGUUAGUCUCAUUUUCCUCGUUUCUAUUUGGACGUGACUGUCUCUAAAUCUUUGAAAUGAAGUUUUAUUUUCCUCUUUGUUAUUAGUCUUGUAUCCCUUUUUUGAAGUCAUUUGAGAAAUCAUUGAAAUCAAUUUAGUCAAUUUGCCUUUGAAGCAAAAGUUUUGUUAAGUCUCUUUGGUUUACAAUGUUUGAGAGGCUUAACCAAAUUGAAAACUCGCGAUCUUGUGAAAAUAGCACUAAAUACGAAACGCUCAUGACAUUUUUUCGUCUUUGAAAGUUCUUAAUUUGAAUCUACCUGCGGGUAUUGUUUGGUCACAGUGAGUGUUGUUCUCUUUCCUUUCCUUGCUCGUAUGCUUCACUUCGUAAUAUCUUCAAUCUUUACUUUGCUUUGUUUACUUACUGCUUUAUAGUGUUAUACAUUCGAUGACAUAGCAUUUUGGUAUUUUAUAUAGGCAUGUUGAGUGUUGUCUUUCUUUAAAGUUGAUAAUUUUGAUCUGCAAAAAUCGGUCGUGCUGCUGAGAUAUUUGAUAUUCAACUUUAGUGUUUUAUUUUGUUUCAUCUCAUUUUAAUUUUGUUUUAAUUGUUCUAGUGUUGUAGUUAGUGCCUGUUAAAAUGAUGUCACGGGAAGUUUUGGAAUUCUUGUUGAUUUUUACAAUUAUUACCUUGCUCAAUUUUUUUUCCUUUCCUUUUUACUGUAAGACUGUGAACUCUUAUUGGUUGAUUUCCUUGAUUUUCCUUUCUUUUGCUUUGGACAUUUGGGCUUGUGGCCACUUAUCGAGUAAAUUAUACUUUUGUCAAAUAGUUCUGUGGGUUCUUUGAGUAUUUACAAAAAAGAUUCAUUCAUUUGGUUCAUAAUAUUUGAGCUCUUGUCCACUUGUUGUGUACAUCAUACUUGUGUUAACUAAUUUUAUGAAUUUUUUGUAUGUUCGUUGAAAAAAUUUAGAUUUUCCAUAUUUACUGGUUUAAUUUUUGUGUCUAAAUUGCAAAAAAUGGAGUUUUCCCCUUCUAUUCUUAUUGCUUCUUGUCACUUGUUUACUCAGGAUUGUACCUUUUCCUAUUUUACUCAAAGCAUGACCUUUUCUUGAGCCGAUUGUCUUUAUUUAUCUUUCUUUUGCUCUAUAUUUCUAAACUUUUGUUACUUUUCCAACUAAUCCUAUGGGAUUUUGAAUGUAUUCAUAAUAAAAGAUUCAGUUUUUUAGUUACUCAUUUUUCUUCUUUUCUUUCUCAAUCGGAUAUGUGUUAAUGUUUUCUUUAUUUUUCUUGUUUUGCAUGAAAAUUCCAUCCGGAGUCCGAAUGGGCUUCCUUUCCUUUGCAUUGCUAAGAGGCCAAUGAGGCCUCUCUUUUCGAGUCAAACUUCGAGGGAAAAUUUUCAAAAGUUCGACCUCGUGGCAUACCGAAACCAAGGAGUCGAAAGAAGAAGAAAUGGAUUAAAGUCCUUCGUUCGAAGCGGCCAAGAGACAAAAGUAUCAUCUAUCAUUUUUAUUUUAGUUUAUUUAUUGUUGUCUUUAUUUAUUUUAUUUAUUCAUUUGGACCUCGAAGCCAAAUUUGUAUUUAAUACAAGUGAAGUGAAAAUUCAAGACGAAAAGGGGCUCGAAAAUAUAGAAUUAGGACAGGUGAAAGAAUGGGUCAAAAACCCAACUAGAUUCGGACAGGGUCGACGGUUUGGGCUUAAAAGCCUAAAUAACUACUUCUCACCUUUUCCUUUUUUCUAUUUGCUUACUUGCUUUACGUGUGCUUGGCGAACCUAGUUAAAUCCUUAGUUAAGUCGCUAAAAAACUAGUUUUGCAUAAACACCAAAAUAUUCCUAAAAUCGCUUUUCUUUUCAAAAAA